UUGAACGCUGGCGGCAUGCCUUACACAUGCAAGUCGAACGGUAACAGGUCUUCGGAUGCUGACGAGUGGCGAACGGGUGAGUAAUACAUCGGAACGUGCCCGAUCGUGGGGGAUAACGAGGCGAAAGCUUUGCUAAUACCGCAUACGAUCUACGGAUGAAAGCGGGGGAUCUUCGGACCUCGCGCGGACGGUGCGGCCGAUGGCAGAUUAGGUAGUUGGUGGGAUAAAAGCUUACCAAGCCGACGAUCUGUAGCUGGUCUGAGAGGAUGAUCAGCCACACUGGGACUGAGACACGGCCCAGACUCCUACGGGAGGCAGCAGUGGGGAAUUUUGGACAAUGGGCGAAAGCCUGAUCCAGCCAUGCCGCGUGCAGGAUGAAGGCCUUUGGGUUGUAAACUGCUUUUGUACGGAACGAAAAGCCUCUUUCUAAUAAAGAGGGGUCAUGACGGUACCGUAAGAAUAAGCACCGGCUAACUACGUG
rnacentral:rRNA from 1 species